rnacentral:lncRNA from 1 species
AACGGAUUCCUCUACCUCCCGGAGACGGUCGGAGACCAUACGGAUCGGGUUUGACUCAUCAUAUGCGAUACUCUCCGCCGUCGAUGCGGCGAUGAGAAUCAGCAGAACUGCCGAUGGUAAGAUUGUUCUCACAGACAUCAUUGUCUUUCUUGUCUCAACGAACGCUUCUGCCUUUGCUUUAGCUAGAAGAGCGAUGUGAGAAGAGUACUAGUAGAAGACGGAAGAGAGAGAUAGAGAGACGGGAACGUUAUCGGGACACGUGGGUGUUUGUGAGUGGAGAGUUGUCCUAUAUACUUGGACUGUUGACGUGUACGGUGAUGUCAUUUUAUGCCAACAAAAAAUCAAUCAAUCAUAAUCAUAAGAGGCUCCAUGAUUUUUUAAUAUACUGGAAUAUUGCAAACUAGUCCCAUGGAUUAUGGCCUAGUUUAGCUCAGAACCCUUUUUAUUUAUUUUAUACAAGCGCAUCCUUUCAACAAAGAGUAUUUGUACAACGUUUUGUAUACAAGAAUUGACUUUGUUAUAAGAGAUUUUCCAGACUAUUUUUUCUUCUUCUUUUGACAGAAAAACCGGGGGCAAGUAAUUGGGUCUGGCCUCACUCUUGCUGCUGUUGCUGUUGCUGUUGCCUUGGUUGUCUCUCAAAUCAAAUGUCUUCACUUUGUUAAAUCCAUCAACCAUAAUCGGGUGCCGUGAAUGCCGGCCGUAACUUUGACUAAUUCUAUAGUACAGACAGAGGUGCCCCUUUUCUCCAUUCAUGAGAUUUAUCAUUGGACUGUACAUGUAACUUACCUUUGGGAGCCGCUUUGUCUUCUUUCUUAGUCUUCCUGCUCUUCCAGUGAUAUAUGUUUAUGAGAGUUUGAAAGCAUCCUUUUCUCGUUUCUAUCUUUGUAUUUUUCUCCAUGUAUCAAAGAACUUAAUUUCGUUUUUGUGCUGUAAUGGAAGUAUAAGGAGUAGAGAUAAUAUUUGACUGGGUUGGGCUGCUUAUGCUUCAGCUUGUACUAUGUUUACCAUAUAAAUAUAAAC